UUAUAGCGUAACCACUACUCGUCGCUGUCAUCGAUGUCCGCAGAUAAAUAUAACCUGAAAAACCGGAGAUAAGAACCCACGUGUGUUCAUCAUACAGUUUCUAGCGUAACCACUACUCGUCGCUGUCAUCGAUGUCCGCAGAUAAAUAUAACCUGAAAAACCGGAGAUAAGAACCCACGUGUGUUCAUCAUACAGGUCUGGAAACUACUCUAAUUUCAGUGGUGGGAGUAUGGCCGCUUUUUGAGGAUACAUUUAGUUUCUAGCGUAACCACUACUCGUCGCUGUCAUCGAUGUCCGCAGAUAAAUAUAACCUGAAAAACCGGAGAUAAGAACCCACGUGUGUUCAUCAUACAGGUCUGGAAACUACUCUAAUUUCAGUGGUGGGAGUAUGGCCGCUUUUUGAGGACACAUUUAGUUUCUAGCGUAACCACUACUCGUCGCUGUCAUCGAUGUCCGCAGAUAAAUAUAACCUGAAAAACCGGAGAUAAGAACCCACGUGUGUUCAUCAUACAGGUCUGGAAACUACUCUAAUUUCAGUGGUGGGAGUAUGGCCGCUUUUUGAG